rnacentral:lncRNA from 1 species
GAGCUAGAGUGCAUUCUCAGCCCAGAGAGUGGCCAGUUGCCCGCCGCUGAGAAUGAAGCUCAGAGCAUUUGGGCUUAAGCCGGUUCAGCUCAGAGGUGGGUUUCGGAAGUCUGUGGCGGACCACCGCAGCAAGUCAUCACUCAGCGUACAAGCCUUUCCAUUUCUGAAAAUAUAAAGAACUUAAGCAUGCGGCGUUCGGAGUGUAGAUUGCUUUGAGGUAUUUCAAAGCAGCGCUGAUCAUGGGCAGAGGAGCUGAUAUGUGCAACAGAAACUACUCACUGGAACUCUUCUGGACGCUCAACAUGAGAAAGCUAAGAAUCAAAAUGAAGAAUGUCCAAAUGAAGGAACAGAGAAAUCACACCACAUAAAUCAUUGCUUUGAUCAUCUCGCUCUGUGUGGUCAACAUCACAUGUCAUAAACUAUAUCCUUCACUCCAUGCAAGAGAUGUUGGGGAGAGCAGAUUAUCAAAAGAAGAGUACUGAAGCAUUGAAACACCUGUCAACAACUUCUUUAUGACUUUCAAAAGAAAUAAAUGUUUGACAUUGUAAAUAGGCAAAUUUUGAUUUCAGAGUCAGAAAAUUACUUAUCAUUUUCACAUUCAAAGUUAGAAAGUUAAUAAGUGACUUAAUGUCAGUGUGUUAGAAAUAUUAAUGCUUUCUAAAAGAACAUUACUGCAGUGAAAUUGGCAAAUAGAAGUAGAAAACGUUGAAAGUUGAGAACUUGAUUUAUGUAUGUUGUAUGAAGUGCAUACCACAGUCAAGCUAAUUGACUUGUCACCCACCCGCAGUUGUAAUUUCUUGUGUUUGUGGUGAGAACACUGAAGAAAUGUUAGUAGGUUUCAUGCAUACAAUAAAGUAUGUUCUACUCUAGUCAGCAUGCCAUCUAUUA